rnacentral:sRNA from 2 species
AAUUUGCGUUAGGGAUGGUAGCGGCAUCCUUUUUUUGCUUUUGCAAGUGGCAAAAAAAGAUAUAGCGUACAGCCCGACCCGUU